GACGAACGCUGGCGGCGUGCUUAACACAUGCAAGUCGAACGGAAAGGCCCUGCUUGCAGGGUACUCGAGUGGCGAACGGGUGAGUAACACGUGGGUGAUCUGCCCUGCACUUCGGGAUAAGCUUGGGAAACUGGGUCUAAUACCGGAUAGGACCGCACUUUAGUGUGUGUGGUGGAAAGUUUUUUCGGUGUAGGAUGAGCUCGCGGCCUAUCAGCUUGUUGGUGGGGUAAUGGUCUACCAAGGCGGCGACGGGUAGCCGGCCUGAGAGGGUGUACGGCCACAUUGGGACUGAGAUACGGCCCAGACUCCUACGGGAGGCAGCAGUGGGGAAUAUUGCACAAUGGGCGCAAGCCUGAUGCAGCGACGCCGCGUGGGGGAUGAAGGCCUUCGGGUUGUAAACUCCUUUCGCUAGGGACGAAGCUUUUUGUGACGGUACCUAGAUAAGAAGCACCGGCUAACUACGUG
rnacentral:rRNA from 1 species